rnacentral:lncRNA from 1 species
CCCCAUUCUAGGAGGUAAGGAUUAGAGAGGCUAAAUGACUUACUCAAGGUCACAGUCAUUAUCAGAAAUUUGGAAAAUAAGGAUAAGCAAAAGGAACAUUAAAAUUAUUCAUAAUCAUACUCCCCAGAAAUAACCAAUACUUUAGAGAAUGUCCUAAUUUUUUCCCCUAAAUAUAUAUUUUGUUUUUUAUUUUUUUUGGUACCAGGGAUCGAACUCAGGACCUUGCACUUUUGAGGCAGGUGCCGGAACCACUGAGCUAAAUCCCCAGCCCUCCCCUAAAUAUAUAUUUUAAGAACAUGUGGAUGACCAAGGUUCAGGCUCUGAUGACCAAAGCAGGGCGUCCUUCAGAGAAGACCUGCAGGAGUUCCUGGGCAGGGAGGCCCCACUGCACCAGCUGGAUGACCUGACCAAGGUGAAUCCUGUGACACUGGAGACAGGUAUGGGCCUCCCUCUUCUCUGGAGGGCUAUCUCUAAGAGGGUGGCGGUGCAAUAAGGGUGUCCAAUGUGGCUUCCCCAGGGUAGGCCAUAGCAGGC